UCAAACUUGGUCAUUUAGAGGAAGUAAAAGUCGUAACAAGGUUUCCGUAGGUGAACCUGCGGAAGGAUCAUCAUUGAAAUAUGAAAACAUUUUCAAGUCAAUUGGAGGGGAAUUUUCUUCUUCUUCUUUCUGGCUUGCAAACAACUUUGAUACCCAAAAAGAGUUUCAUCUUCUUCAUCUUCAGCUUUUAUUGGCUUAGGUUGAUUGGGUUGGAGGGAAGAAAAAGGAGGAAGGGUGAUUGGGGGGAAAAAAACCUCAGUUCCCUGAAUCCAAUAACAACAUAUAUGGUUGCCUGAUAAAAAAAGAGUUUGGUUUCUGGAAAUGGAAAGGAAAAUGAAACAACUUUCAACAACGGAUCUCUUGGCUCUCGCAUCGAUGAAGAACGCAGC
rnacentral:misc_RNA from 1 species